CCAGAAGGCACCUGGGGAUCUUGUUAACACGUGGAGUGGGAUUCUGCGGGGUAACUCCUGACAAUCUGCUUUCCUAACAGGCUUCCAGGUGCCCCUGGA
rnacentral:pre_miRNA from 1 species